rnacentral:rRNA from 1 species
CAGUCGCCGCGGUAAUACGAAGGGGGCUAGCGUUGCUCGGAAUGACUGGGCGUAAAGGGCGCGUAGGCGGAUUGUUUAGUUAGGCGUGAAAUUCCUGGGCUUAACCUGGGGACUGCGCUUAAUACAGGCAGUCUAGAGUGAGGAAGAGGGUUGUGGAAUUCCCAGUGUAGAGGUGAAAUUCGUAGAUAUUGGGAAGAACACCGGUGGCGAAGGCGGCAACCUGGUCCUUGACUGACGCUCAUGCACGAAAGCGUGGGGAGCAAACAGGAUUAGAUACCCCAGUAGUCCCUGUCUCUUAUAC